AACGAACGCUGGCGGCAUGCCUAAUACAUGCAAGUCGAACGAGAUCUUCGGAUCUAGUGGCGCACGGGUGCGUAACGCGUGGGAAUCUGCCCUCGGGUUCGGAAUAACUUCUGGAAACGGAAGCCAAUACCGGAUGAUGACGUAAGUCCAAAGAUUUAUCGCCCAAGGAUGAGCCCGCGUAGGAUUAGCUAGUUGGUGAGGUAAAGGCCCACCAAGGCGACGAUCCUUAGCUGGUCUGAGAGGAUGAUCAGCCACACUGGGACUGAGACACGGCCCAGACUCCUACGGGAGGCAGCAGUAGGGAAUAUUGGACAAUGUGCGAAAGCCUGAUCCAGCAAUGCCACGUGAGUGAUGAAGGCCUUAGGGUUGUAAAGCUCUUUUACCCGGGAUGAUAAUGACAGUACCGGGAGAAUAAGCUCCGGCUAACUCCGUGCCAGCCGCCGCUGUAACAC
rnacentral:rRNA from 1 species